UACGUAGGGGGCAAGCGUUGUCCGGAUUUAUUGGGCGUAAAGAGCUCGUAGGUGGUUCGGUAAGUCGGAUGUGAAAUCUCCAGGCUCAACCUGGAGGGGUCAUUCGAUACUGCCGUGACUAGAGGUCGGUAGGGGAGUGUGGAAUUCCUGGUGGAGCGGUGAAAUGCGCAGAUAUCAGGAGGAACACCCGUAGCGAAGGCGGCACUCUGGGCCGAUACUGACACUGAGGAGCGAAAGUGUGGGGAGCGAACAGG
rnacentral:rRNA from 1 species